UCCAGCCUGUCCGAACAGUACCCCGACUGGU
rnacentral:piRNA from 1 species